rnacentral:rRNA from 1 species
UACGUAGGGGGCUAGCGUUGUCCGGAUUUAUUGGGCGUAAAGAGCGCGCAGGCGGUCGUUCAAGUCGCGUGUGAAAGCCCCCGGCUCAACUGGGGAGGGUCACGCGAUACUGAUCGACUCGAAGGCAGGAGAGGGUAGUGGAAUUCCCGGUGUAGUGGUGAAAUGCGUAGAUAUCGGGAGGAACACCAGUGGCGAAGGCGGCUUCUUGGCCUGUUCUUGACGCUGAGGCGCGAAAGCUAGGGGAGCAAACGGG